CAGUCGCCGCGGGAAUACAGAGGGUGCGAGCGUUAAUCGGAUUUACUGGGCGUAAAGCGUGCGUAGGCGGCUUCUUAAGUCGGAUGUGAAAUCCCUGAGCUUAACUUAGGAAUUGCAUUCGAUACUGGGAAGCUAGAGUAUGGGAGAGGAUGGUAGAAUUCCAGGUGUAGCGGUGAAAUGCGUAGAGAUCUGGAGGAAUACCGAUGGCGAAGGCAGCCAUCUGGCCUAAUACUGACGCUGAGGUACGAAAGCAUGGGGAGCAAACAGGAUUAGAUACCCGCGUAGUCCAUGUCUCUUAUAC
rnacentral:rRNA from 1 species